rfam:Triticum aestivum genome assembly, contig: Triticum_aestivum_CS42_TGACv1_scaffold_428924_5BS
UUAUGCGAUCAUACCAGCAGUAAAGCACCAGAUCCCAUCAGAACUCCGAAGUUAAGCGUGCUUAGGCGAGAGUAGUACUAGGAUGGGUGACCUCCUGGGAAGUCCUCGUGUUGCAUUCC